rnacentral:rRNA from 1 species
UACGUAUGGGGCAAGCGUUAUCCGGAUUUACUGGGUGUAAAGGGAGCGUAGGCGGCGGGGCAAGCCUGAUGUGAAAGCCCGGGGCUCAACCCCGGGACUGCAUUGGGAACUGCCCUGCUGGAGUGCCGGAGGGGCAGGCGGAAUUCCUAGUGUAGCGGUGAAAUGCGUAGAUAUUAGGAGGAACACCAGUGGCGAAGGCGGCCUGCUGGACGGUGACUGACGCUGAGGCACGAAAGCGUGGGGAGCAAACAGG